ACGGGAGGCAGCAGUGGGGAAUUUUGCGCAAUGGGCGGAAGCCUGACGCAGCAACGCCGCGUGGAGGAUGAAGGUCUUUGGAUUGUAAACUCCUGUCAGCGGGGAAAAAGGGACUGGGGCUCAUACCCUCAGGACUUGAUUGUACCCGCAGAGGAAGCCCCGGCUAACUCUGUGCCAGCAGCCGCGGUAAUACAGAGGGGGCAAGCGUUAUUCGGAAUUAUUGGGCGUAAAGGGCGCGUAGGCGGCUUUGCAAGUGGCGGGUGAAAUCCCUCGGCUUAACCGAGGAACUGCCUGCCAGACUGUGAGGCUUGAGACCGGGAGAGGUGAGUGGAAUUCCCAGUGUAGCGGUGAAAUGCGUAGAUAUUGGGAGGAACACCAGUGGCGAAGGCGGCUCACUGGACCGGAACUGACGCUGAGGCGCGAAAGCGUGGGGAGCAAACAGGAUUAGAUACCCUGGUA
rnacentral:rRNA from 1 species